CAAUGGUUGCUCUGGAAAUCGACCUCUCGGCAUCACGUGGCAUGGCGUGGCGUGGCGUGGCGUGGGAGAGAAGGGACGAGGUGGGCGCAGGCGACCAUCAAAUGCGUGAACCCAGGCCCAGGCGUUCCACUGCCUCCCCAGCCCUGUGCUCAGGUGUGAGCUGUUUCCGCCCAGUGUCCUCUUGUAGCUGCAUGUGGGUUUAUCGAUCACUGUAGUCCUGGGCGACGGCAGCUUCCUUCUUUGCCGGGGAUGAGUUCGUGAUAAACCAGAAUGUGGCCCAGGACGACCGUUUGUUUUCCAAACCUCCCGCCGCAGAGGCGUGAAGCUGGGGGCGGGGCGUCCCCAACAGAGACCGUGGAGGGGGGAUCCCGGGCAGCCGCACCUUCGGGUCUGUUUUCAUUAACUGUAUUUCCUUUUUGUUUUUAAAAUUAAAAGUCAGAUACGGUUUUUAACAUC